GUUUACCCUUGAGUCAUGAUGGGAGUCUUUGCUUGAUCCUGGUUUCCUGUAGAAACUGGUGGACAAGUCACUUCCUCUCUCUGGGAUAGUGACUGGCCACCGACAUAAAACAUAUUCUCACCCCUGCUCAGUGAAGUGAGCAGAAUAUACUCAGGCUGGAGAGCAGUGGACAGGGUGAGGGGGACCCUGUGUGGACCGAGGACGAGGGGCAGAAUGAGUGUUUUGCGAGAAUCAGAAUGCACGGAAAACUCACUUUGGUCCGGGGCAAGUUUGUCCCAACACAACAGAGGAUGUGAAAUGGUUAACAAUCCAACCUAGGAGUGCUGCAGGCAGGGAGGAGAAUGUGUCAGAAGAAGCAAGCCAGCAAUGUUUUUGCAGAGGAUUUGGGGGGAACACAGAAGUUUCAGGCAGCGGUAUUCAGGGAGAGACAGAAGGCGGCAGUCACGUAGGAGAAAAAGCCACUCCCGAGGUGAUAAAUGACUGGCAAAUAGGCAUUCAACACAGCACUGAAAGAAAGGCAAGCACUCUUCUGUAACUACAAUAGAUGAAGACUCUUAAAAACCUGAAGCAAAGAGACAGCUAUUUUCUGAAAUGAGUAAUAAUGACAUUGAUAUCAGGAAGUAACCAUUCCAGCACAGAAUGGCAUAGAACAAGAACAGCCUGGGACGCAGAGGAUCGGCAGGACCUGGAUCAUGUGAGAAGAAAAUAAAUCCCCACAGGACCAGACAUGGGCAAUUCCUGUCACGUUUGACUAAGGCUUUUCACCGGUUCCCCCAAAGAGGGGAGGUGGGAUGUUAAUAUCAGAACCCCACUAUGUAUU